rnacentral:rRNA from 1 species
GACGCCGCGUGAGCGAUGAAGCCCUUCGGGGUGUAAAGCUCUUUCGACGGGAACGAUAAUGACGGUACCCGGAGAAGAAGCUGCGGCUAACUACGUGCCAGCAGCCGCGGUAAUACGUAGGCAGCAAGCGUUGUUCGGAGUUACUGGGCGUAAAGAGUGCGUAGGCGGUUGACCAAGUCUGUCGUGAAAUCUCCUGGCUUAACUGGGAGGGUGCGGUGGAAACUGGUUGGCUUGAGAGUGGGAGAGGUAAGCGGAAUUCCUGGUGUAGCGGUGAAAUGCGUAGAUAUCAGGAGGAACACCGGUGGUGUAGACGGCUUACUGGACCACGACUGACGCUGAGGCACGAAAGCGUGGGUAGCAAACAGGAUUAGAUACCCUGGUAGUCCACGCCCUAAACGA